rnacentral:rRNA from 1 species
GACGAACGCUGGCGGCGUGCUUAACACAUGCAAGUCGAACGGAAAGGCCCUGCUUUUGUGGGGUGCUCGAGUGGCGAACGGGUGAGUAACACGUGAGUAACCUGCCCUUGACUUUGGGAUAACUUCAGGAAACUGGGGCUAAUACCGGAUAGGAGCUCCUGCUGCAUGGUGGGGGUUGGAAAGUUUCGGCGGUUGGGGAUGGACUCGCGGCUUAUCAGCUUGUUGGUGGGGUAGUGGCUUACCAAGGCUUUGACGGGUAGCCGGCCUGAGAGGGUGACCGGCCACAUUGGGACUGAGAUACGGACCAGACUCCUACGGGAGGCAGCAGUGGAGAAUAUUGCACAAUGGGCGGAAGCCUGAUGCAGCAACGCCGCGUGCGGGAUGACGGCCUUCGGGUUGUAAACCGAUUUCGCCUGUGACGAAGCGUGAGUGACGGUAAUGGGUAAAGAAGCACCGGCUAACUACGUG